UAUUAUGUUUGUCACCAAAAGAAAUAACUUUAAUUUAUUUUAAAUUGAAUAUAAUUAAUUGGAUAUUUUUUUUUUCAAAUACCUUUUAUUCACAAAUGGUUCUUUCUGGAUCCCUCUUUCUUAUCUCCCGUUUGUCCUUCUCUUUCUCAUCUCUUUAUCUCCUAUCGUCUAUCUCCUUUCUCUCUCAUUUCCUGGAUCCAUUUUCUGGAUCGUCUCUCUCUCUUUUCCCUCUCUCAAUUUCUGGAUCAACUUCUGGAUCGUCUCCCUCCUUUCCCUCUUCUCUUUCACUUCAUAUUUUCUCGAUUUGUUGGAAACCACAGAAAAAAUCAACCUCAAUUUUCCAAAUUUGGAGAAAACUCACAAAAGUAAUUUAAUUAAUUCUGGGUUUUAUCAAGUUCAAUCAACUAAUGAGGAACAAAAAAUGGCGAUUAGAAACCCUUGGAUCUCGCACGCUUUAGCAGAUAUGGACCAUACUUCUCAAAUUUCACUAAUCCAUCAAUUAGAGCAAAGAUUGUAUGGUCCUUGCCAAUUCCAACAUUCUUCCCGGGAUGAAACUGAAAUGAACAUGUGAUGUUAGAGAUCAAUAUUGUGGAACAUCUGUUCAAAAGACUAUAUAAUCAGCAUAAAAGAGAGUUGCAAUCGCACGGACACUGAUGUAAUAUGUCACAAAAGCCGGUAAAUUGAGACCUACAUCCUAACAAAUAUUGGGUUGAAGGCUCGCAUAAAAGGGAAAUCGAAUUUUGGGUUUCGAUCAUAUUGGGACGGAUGGACUCUGUUGCUGCAACUGUUGACGAUAAAAAAAAGAGUGUACUUACCUGUAUUGGCGGUGGUGGAGCUUGCUAUCAACGAACUCUCUAAUGGAACUCGGUUUACAAUGAUUUGAUGAAUGAGAAAAAGAUAAUUAGUAGUUUUAGAAAAUGUAAUCAAUUUA